GUAAUGUGAAUUGCAGAAUUCAGUGAAUCAUCGAAUUUUUGAACGCAUAUUGCGCCCUUUGGCAUUCCGAAGGGCAUACCUGUUCGAGCGUCAUUACACCCCUCAAGCUUAGGUUUGAUGUUGGGCACUGCUGUAAGGGCAUGCCUAAAAAUUAGCGAUGGUAACCGAUAACCACAGGCGCACAGAUGUCGCAAUGAUGGAAGUUGGGCACCAGUCUUAAUUAAAUUUCUAAAUGUUGACCUCGGAUCAGGUAGGGAUACCCGCUGAACUUAAGCAUAUCAAUAAGCGGAGGAAAAGAAACCAACAGGGAUUGCCUCAGUAACGGCGAGUGAAGCGGCAAAAGCUCAAAUUUGAAAUCUGACCUUUCAGGUCCGAGUUGUAAUUUGUAGAGGAUGUUUCGGGUAAGAUCCAGGCCUAAGUUCCUUGGAACAGGACGUCAUAGAGGGUGAGAAUCCCGUACGUGGCUCAUGAUUGCACCCAUGUGAAACUCCUUCGACGAGUCGAGUUGUUUGGGAAUGCAGCUCAAAAUGGGAGGUAAAUUCCUUCUAAAGCUAAAUAUUGGCCAGAGACCGAUAGCGCACAAGUAGAGUGAUCGAAAGAUGAAAAGCACUUUGAAAAGAGAGUUAAAAAGCAUGUGAAAUUGUUGAAAGGGAAGCGCUUGUAGCCAGACUUGUUUAUAGGGUUCAGCCGUCGUUUUCGUCGGUGUAUUUCCCUAUUAUCAGGCCAGCAUCAGUUUAGGUGGAAGGUUAAAGGCCUUGGGAAUGUAUCUUCCUCCGGGAUGACUUAUAGCCCUUGGUGUAAUGCUUCCUACCUAGACUGAGGCACGCGUUCGCUAGGAUGCUGGCGUAAUGGCUAUAAG
rnacentral:rRNA from 1 species